UCUCCCUGCCCAGGCUCCUAGAGCCUCUGGGACUCAAGGCUUGGGGGUGCUGAGAGGAGGGUGGUCUUUCUGGACUAGGAAUUCGUGGAGUCUGUUUCCUCAGCUACAAGGCCCUGAGCUCCAGGCCCUCAGUGUCUGGCACGGUGCCCCUGCAUACUAAAGAACCUCCAUCAGCACUUCCAGAAUGAAGACAUGCGUGAAUUGUGCUUGCCAUCCUGUGCAUAGCUAGCACAGACCUGGGACCAGCCCUGAGAACGAGAUGGCUGCAAGUUGGGAUUCUCACUGAGGAGAAAGAGGGAAGGGGCUGCAGGGGAGGAAAGACCCUCCGAACCACACGUGGAGCCACCGCAACCCUGGGAUCACAGCCCUGGCAGAGGCUCCACCCACGAGGGCCGCACAUCUCAGACCUCAUUCUGUUUCCGGAAUGCUGCCCCUGAAGCUGGAUCAAUGAAACAUAAGCAAGCCGGCCCCUGCCCUUCCCCUCGGCUUUGUCAGAAGAUGGGAUGGGGGGUGGGUGGAUUCCAAAUGAACUUCACCCCUUACUGGCUGUGUCCCUUCUCUCUCUGGCCCUCAUCUAUAAAAUGAGGUGUACCUGCUUCACAGAAUCAUCUGGAGAGGAAAUAAAAUAACAUGG
rnacentral:lncRNA from 1 species